UUACGCUCUUCCAACUGAUGCAAGAACUCUUGUGCAUACACCAUCCAAAAUAAUUAUUUCGGAUGACGAUGAUAUAGGUGGAAAGUAUUGGCAUUAUGGUUUGCAACCGGCACUUAUAAAUGUGCUGUCAACCAGCAAUGAAAGCAAUAUAAAAAAUAUUUCUCUAAACGUAAACAUCGAUGGACUACCAACUUUCAAAAGUUCAACAUCGUUCUGGCCAAUCUUGGUGAACAUUCACGAAUUAAGGAAUAUACCCCCUCAAUUUGUGAGAAUCUUUUGUGGGACUUAUAAACCAAAAAAUGUCAAUGCAUUUCUACGGCCAUUUGUUGAAGAAUUAAAUCUUGUUUUACAAAAAGGAAUUCGGAUAGAUACUAACAUUGUAAAGAUUUCUUUAAGAUGUUUUAUUUGCGACACACCUGCUCGAGCUAUGCUGAGAGGUGUGAUUGGACAUAACGGCUAUGGAUCAUGCUUAAAAUGCGCCACUGAAGGAGAAUAUUCUCACGCUUUCGGGAAAAUGAUAUUUCCGCAGUUAGAUGCUCCCCUACGGAGCGAUCAAGAAUUUCGACUUAAAAUAGACGAAGGACAUCAUAAAUUUACUAGUAUUCUAGAA